CAGGACGAACGCUGGCGGCGUGCCUAAUACAUGCAAGUCGAACGGUCUUUCUAUGGAAGCUUGCUUCCACUGAGAAGAUAGUGGCGAACGGGUGAGUAACACGUGGGUAACCUGCCCAUAAGAGGGGGAUAACAUCCGGAAACGGGUGCUAAUACCGCAUAGUUUUCUUGAUCGCAUGAUCGGGAAAGGAAAGACGGCCUUUGUGCUGUCGCUUAUGGAUGGACCCGCGGCGUAUUAGUUAGUUGGUGAGGUAACGGCUCACCAAGACGAUGAUACGUAGCCGACCUGAGAGGGUGAUCGGCCACAUUGGGACUGAGACACGGCCCAAACUCCUACGGGAGGCAGCAGUAGGGAAUCUUCCGCAAUGGACGAAAGUCUGACGGAGCAACGCCGCGUGAGUGAAGAAAGGGUUUUCGGAUCGUAAAACUCUGUUGUCAGAGAAGAACAAGUUGGAGAGUAACUGCUCCAGCCUUGACGGUAUCUGACCAGAAAGCCACGGCUAACUACGUGCCAGCCGCUGC
rnacentral:rRNA from 1 species